AGGGAAUCAUUGGAGUGAUUGGACUCACUCCAUCAAAGAAAAGAGUGGUUAAGAUACUCCAAGGUGUGAGUGGUAUAGCAAGACCUUCAAGGUUGACUUUACUUCUUGGUCCGCCUGGAUCUAGAAAAACAACAUUACUAAAAGCACUUGCUGCAAAACUUGAUGAUGAUUUAAGGUAUCUGGAAAAGUGACAUACUGUGGCCAUGAAUUUGAAGAGUUUGUACCUCAGAGAACCUCA